UUUCCGUAGGUGAACCUGCGGAAGGAUCAUUAUCGUACAAAAUGUGAGGGGCAUGCGAGGGCUGUCGCUGACCCAAAAGUCGUGCACGUCCGAGUGCCCUCACACACAUCCAUCUCACCCCUAUGUGCACCACCGCGUGGGUCCCCCUUUGGCUUGUUCGGAGGGGGGCUUACGUUUUCACACAAACUUUGUAUGCAGUGUAGAAUGUAUUUUUUGUUUUUGCGAUCACGCAAUCAAUACAACUUUCAACAACGGAUCUCUUGGCUCUC
rnacentral:misc_RNA from 1 species